CAGUGAAAGGAUCCAGAUGAACAGAUGAAGAGAUUAAGUACAAUGUACAUCAAUUACUUGGAUGAAGAGAAUCUGCAACAUGGGGAAAUAAUGUUCCUAUAGAAAAGUCAAAGAAUGUAUACAUGUGAGAUUCUGAAGUAGCCGUACAUGAUGAGUAGGAAUUUGAAGUGAAUUAUGGGAAAAGCCCAAUGCAACAGAAACUAAAAAUUCAAGAACCUAUUGGUAAUUAAUCUGAUGUUUUUUAAAUAGAUUGAUCGAAAGUACAUGCAAUAUAAUUCAUACUAUAUAAAGGUGCAGUGUUUAAUUGAUUUGUUACAAAAAAGAGCAAUGACCAUAUCACCAAUG